UGAGGAAUUUUGCGCAAUGGGAGCAAUCCUGACGCAGCAACGCCGCGUGGGUGAUGAAGGCCUUCGGGUCGUAAAGCCCUGUCAGGUGGGAAGAAUGUCCCGGGACUGAACAGGUUCCGGGAGUGACGGUACCACCAGAGGAAGCACCGGCUAACUCCGUGCCAGCAGCCGCGGUAAUACGGAGGGUGCAAGCGUUAUUCGGAAUUACUGGGCGUAAAGCGCGUGUAGGCGGUCCUGCAAGUCUGAUGUGAAAGCCCCGGGCUUAACCCGGGAAGUGCAUUGGAAACUGUGGGAAUUGAGUACUGGAGAGGAUGGGGGAAUUCCCGGUGUAGAGGUGGAAUUCGUAGGGAUCGGGAGGAAUAUCAGGGGCGAAGGCGCCCAUCUGGACGGUAACUGACGCUGGGACGCGAAAGCGUGGGGAGCAAACA
rnacentral:rRNA from 1 species